rnacentral:tRNA from 1 species
GGGCGGCUAGCUCAGCUGGUUAGAGCGCCUCUCUGAUAAGGAGGAGGUCGGAGGUUCGAGUCCCUCGUCGCCCA